GGCUGGAUGGUCUAGAAGUAUGAUACUCCCUUCGGGUUGAAACCCGCCUACGCCUCCGUAGGUGCGACUGGGAGUGGUCCCGGGUUCAAUUCCCGGUUCGGCCC